rnacentral:rRNA from 1 species
CGGGGUGGAGUAACGCGUGGGUAACCUGCCUCACACAGGGGAGUAACAGUUGGAAACGGCUGCUAAUACCGCAUAAGCGCACAGUACCGCAUGGUACAGUGUGAAAAACUCCGGUGGUGUGAGAUGGAUCCGCGUCUGAUUAGCUAGUUGGCAGGGCAACGGCCUACCAAGGCGACGAUCAGUAGCCGACCUGAGAGGGUGACCGGCCACAUUGGGACUGAGACACGGCCCAA